rnacentral:rRNA from 1 species
GACGAACGCUGGCGGCGUGCUUAACACAUGCAAGUCGAGCGGUAAGGCCCCUUCGGGGGUACACGAGCGGCGAACGGGUGAGUAACACGUGAGCAACCUACCCUCAACUUCGGGAUAAGCCUCGGAAACGGGGUCUAAUACCGGAUAUCACUUUCCACCUCAUGGUGGGGGGUUGAAAGUUCUGGCGGUUGGGGAGUGGGCUCGCGGCCUAUCAGCUUGUUGGUGGGGUAAUGGCCUACCAAGGCGUCGACGGGUAGCCGGCCUGAGAGGGCGACCGGCCACACUGGGACUGAGACACGGCCCAGACUCCUACGGGAGGCAGCAGUGGGGAAUAUUGCGCAAUGGACGAAAGUCUGACGCAGCAACGCCGCGUGAGGGAUGACGGCC